AGCGGCCGUCGGUGCAGAUCUUGG
rnacentral:ncRNA from 2 species